rnacentral:tRNA from 1 species
GAGGGUAUAGCUCAGUGGUACAGUCUGUGCAUAGCAUGCAAUAGGUCCUGGGUUCAAGUCCCAGUAUCUCCA